UGCUUGGGAGAAUUGGAUCAUGGGGCAGAUUCAUCCAUUGCUUUGUUCACAGAUAAAUGGGGUUAGAAGGUGGAUCUUUAUUUGAGGGUUGAGGUGGGCCGCGCUGGGCAUGACCUCAAUAGGUGCAUUCCUGUCCCUUGCGCCUCUCUUCUCUAUCUCUUAUUCUUGGUUGACAUGAGCUCCUCCAUACUCCUCUGACGUCCCGUUUCUUACCUACAGCCAGCCAAGUGUGCCUGAACUGUGAACCAAAAGGAACAUUUCCUCCUUUAAGUUCUGGGUGUUAGGUAUUUUUCCCGACGUCCAGGAAGUGACUAAACCACAAGGAAAUGUUUUCUCUUCUCUCUGUUCAGUAAUAUCCGUUAACAUCUGGGGAUCACAAAUACUUUAAGAAGCACCUCAAAGCGAUGGACCCAGGAUUUUGAGUGGUAAGGGUCUACAGCUUUCCUCAGUGACUUCAGAGACUGUGUGGCUCUUCUGAAAAUGUAGACCCUAAUUCAAAGGAGGCUCAGAUUCUUCCCUUCUAAUUCAAUUCAAGGUUUCCAAACGCCGUGGAACCAAUGGUAACAGAUCCCAAUAACAUCAAUCAAAUAACCACGAUGGACAGGACGAGUAGCCACCAGUGUUUUAUGUGCAACACCUUAGGCUGAAUGACUCAACUGUUUAUCUUACUGUACAGGCGAUGAAAUGAAAGACAUUGCAUGGCUUAUUUUCUGAACAGCACUGCUGUGACACCAAGGUCUUUGGCAUGGCGAGGCCCUCACUCAUUCCUAAAAAAGAAGCAGCUUACCAAGAUCAUCCUAGUUGUCAUGGAAUGCCUAGGACUGGGGCUUGGAAAAGGCGUGGCAGAACACAGGACUUGCACUGCAAGGAACAGUUGAAAAUAACAACCUGAGAGAAAUCCACACACUUUCAUGAGGAUGGCCUUAGGGUCACAGCUGAAGCUCUAUGGGAUAUGAGAAAGGAAGAACAGCUGCUGAAGUUGGAGGGAAUGAACCCCAAGGAAACGAGCAAGGACUCCAACUGACAAGGGGUGAAGAGCGCACGAGAGUGUCGCUCGCACUUUCCUGUAGAUAGGACCUCUGUGGAGAUAUUUCCAGGACGGUGAUGACGACUCAUGCAAUCUGAGAUGAGCACUCAGAUUCUACGUUCUUCGGAAGCAUCCAUGAUGUCAACAUCCCUGGCACAUCCCAAGUAGCAGAAAACAAGACCAGCUAUGCUGCAAGUUUGAUCCUUCUGUCAGUAGAGUCAACAGCACCCAAGAAUCUGUUAGGACUGCAAAUUCCUCUUCCAUACCCCCUAUCAGUUACAUCACAAUGUCUGGGGUUAAGUACAAGGAUCAGUAUUAUGGUUUAAGUGCCAAUAUGUAGUGUGAGAGCAAAAGAGUGACUAGGAGAGGAAACAGUAGGAGUGGAGAAAAACAACGGUCCGUGUAGUGUUGGGUUAAGAAGCAGAAUCAAGAGUGACCGAGUAAAACUUAUUUAGAUUCUGCUCAUAUUAAAAGGGUGCCAGACGACCUGAUCUUAUCCCUAAAACUUUGCUUUUUAUCUUUAACUAUGAAAAUUUUUGUAAUCUUUCUGCUGACAGUGUAGGUCAUGCUUGGAAAAAUCUAACAACUUCUGCCAGGCAAUUAAGUAAUGUGGAUACUUACUUUAAUUAACAAUUGUGCCUAAACCAAAGCUCUUUGCAUAAAAGUGCUUCUAAUGAAACAGGAGAAUUAGCUGGGAAAAAUGUGUUGUGAUAUAGAAUAAGAAUGACGGCAGUGAUGGUUUCCCUAAACAGAUAAACCAAUCUGUUUCCGACUUUUAUUAUAAACCACUCAUGAAGUAUCUGCCAAGCUAGAUGGAAAGAGACUGUUACUGCUGCUUGAUACAACACUCUGUGUCAUCUUAGAGAAUGAACUUUAAUUAGAGUAUCACUAGUGUCGAAUUAGCAAUAAAUGUUUAAGACAAACUGAGAUAACAGUACCAUGGGAACCUUGCCACUGAUAUAAAAUCUGCUGUAAAUUGCAAAGAAUUUACAUUUUCCAUUAGCACACAGUCAUAAGCAUCACAAGGAUAAAAGAUUGCAUACAGUUUGGAUGUCCUUUAAUUCUACUGAAAUUAUCACCACAAGGUAGUGUAACACUUCAAAUU